rnacentral:rRNA from 1 species
AUGCAAGUCGAACGCAACCUUCGGGUUGAGUGGCGCACGGGUGAGUAACGCGUGGGAAUCUGCCCUGUGGUACGGAAUAACAUCGGGAAACUGGUGCUAAUACCGUAUAUCCCCUGAGGGGGAAAGAUUUAUCGCCAUAGGAGGAGCCCGCGUAGGAUUAGCUAGUUGGUGGGGUAACGGCCUACCAAGGCGACGAUCCUUAGCUGGUCUGAGAGGAUGACCAGCCACACUGGGACUGAGACACGGCCCAGACUCCUACGGGAGGCAGCAGUGGGGAAUAUUGGACAAUGGGGGAAACCCUGAUCCAGCCAUGCCGCGUGUGUGAUGAAGGCCUUCGGGUUGUAAAGCACUUUCGCACGUGACGAUGAUGACGGUAACGUGAGAAGAAGCCCCGGCUAACUUCGUGCCAGCAGCCGCGGUAAUACGAAGGGGGCAAGCGUUGUUCGGAAUUACUGGGCGUAAAGGGCGCGUAGGCGGUGCACUAAGUCAGGCGUGAAAGCCCUGGGCUCAACCCGGGAACUACGCUUGAUACUGGUGCGCUUGAAUCCAGGAGAGGUUGGUGGAAUUCCCAGUGUAGAGGUGAAAUUCGUAGAGAUUGGGAAGAACACCGGUGGCGAAGGCGGCCAACUGGACU